AGAUCCAUGGCUGCAUGUAGUAGAGCAUUGGAUGGAGAUAAUACAUAUGCUGUUACAAUUGUGAGGGCUAAUGGUGAUUUGAGUUCCGAACUAGAGCGCAUAGUUGUCGGUGAUCCUUUGGAGCAAACGGCUUCUUGUAGCUGUUUUCAGUUUAAAAGGACUGGAGUAUUGUGUGCGCAUGCUUUAAAAGUUCUUGACUUGAUGAAUAUCAAGUUAUUACCAAACCAUUAUCUUUUAAAGAGAUGGACCCGAGAAGCAAAAUCUGGAACUAUGCAAGAUACCAAAGGAAGAGAUAUAAUUGAAGAUCCAAAAUUGGAUGCUAUGUUGCGGUACAAGUUUGUUUCUCACAAAUUUCAUGAUUUUGCAAGUGAAGCCGCAAGCGAUCCGGAAUGUAUCUUGUUGGUGGACAAUGCAUUGGACAUCCUUGCCAAGCAAGUACGGGAAAAACUGAGGAUAUCUAGAAGUAUUUUGAGUGAAUCCUCUAAUGUGCAGCCUAAUGUUCAACAAGAUGAGGGUUUGCUUAGUUCUGCACGCCUCAAGAAAAAAGAGGUUCAACCGAAAAGUUCAAAGAGACAUAAACCUUGGAUCGAGAAGACACGCAAGUACAAAAAGAAAGACCCAAAGGAAUCUAGCCAGCAAGAGAAAGAGAAUCAAGUUGGUGGAGAAACUCAAGCAACAACUGAAAAUGCUAAUAAUGCCAGCAAUGCAUUCAGGAGCUACACAGACUUGCUAAUGGUA
rnacentral:rRNA from 1 species